rnacentral:rRNA from 1 species
GAUGAACGCUGGCGGCGUGCCUAAUACAUGCAAGUCGAGCGAACGGACGAGAAGCUUGCUUCUCUGAUGUUAGCGGCGGACGGGUGAGUAACACGUGGAUAACCUACCUAUAAUACUGGGAUAACUUCGGGAAACCGGAGCUAAUACCGGAUAAUAUUUUGAACCGCAUGGUUCAAAAGUGAAAGACGGUCUUGCUGUCACUUAUAGAUGGAUCCGCGCUGCAUUAGCUAGUUGGUAAGGUAACGGCCUACCAAGGCAACGAUGCAUAGCCGACCUGAGAGGGUGAUCGGCCACACUGGAACUGAGACACGGUCCAGACUCCUACGGGAGGCAGCAGUAGGGAAUCUUCCGCAAUGGGCGAAAGCCUGACGGAGCAACGCCGCGUGAGUGAUGAAGGUCUUCGGAUCGUAAAACUCUGUUAUUAGGGAAGAACAUAUGUGUAAGUAACUGUGCACAUCUUGACGGUACCUAAUCAGAAAGCCACGGCUAACUACGUG